rfam:Callithrix jacchus chromosome 11, whole genome shotgun sequence
AGCUUUGUGCAGUGGCGGUAUCAUAGCCAAUGAGGUUUAUCUGAGACACGAUUAUCGCCGACUGAAAACUUUCCUAUUAAGGAAAUGGCCUGUAGUUUUUAAAAAAAUCAGUGUCAUAAA